rnacentral:rRNA from 1 species
GACGAACGCUGGCGGCGUGCUUAACACAUGCAAGUCGAACGGAAAGGCCCUGCUUUUGUGGGGUGCUCGAGUGGCGAACGGGUGAGUAACACGUGAGUAACCUGCCCUUGACUUUGGGAUAACUUCAGGAAACUGGGGCUAAUACCGGAUAGGAGCUCCUGCUGCAUGGUGGGGGUUGGAAAGUUUCGGCGGUUGGGGAUGGACUCGCGGCUUAUCAGCUUGUUGGUGGGGUAGUGGCUUACCAAGGCUUUGACGGGUAGCCGGCCUGAGAGGGUGACCGGCCACAUUGGGACUGAGAGACGGCCCAGACGCCUACGGGAGGCAGCAGUGGGGAAUAUUGCACAAUGGGCGGAAGCCUGAUGCAGCAACGCCGCGUGCGGGAUGACGGCCUUCGGGUGGUAAACCGCUUUCGCCUGUGACGAAGCGUGAGUGACGGUAAUGGGUAAAGAAGCACCGGCUAACUACGUG